rnacentral:rRNA from 1 species
UACGAAGGGGGCUAGCGUUGUUCGGAAUCACUGGGCGUAAAGGGCGCGUAGGCGGCUUUAUAAGUCGGGGGUGAAAGCCUGUGGCUCAACCACAGAAUUGCCUUCGAUACUGUAGAGCUUGAGACCGGAAGAGGUAAGUGGAACUGCGAGUGUAGAGGUGAAAUUCGUAGAUAUUCGCAAGAACACCAGUGGCGAAGGCGGCUUACUGGUCCGGUUCUGACGCUGAGCCGCGAAAGCCAGGGGAGCGAAUGGG